GAGUAAAUAUUGUAGUAAAUGGGAGUUAACAGUGGAAUUAACAGUGUGCAAUUUUUUUCCCACUUUUUACAUUUCUUACAUAUCAAAUACUAUAGACGUUAUAUUAACAUUGUUUAGUAUGUUUAGUAUUAUAUGUGCAUGGGCCCCUUCUCUUUUCACAGAAGGUUGUCAUUGAGCCUUGGAACUUUCUUAUAUAUAAAGGUAGUAAGACCAAUAAUUCACUUUAUUUCAUAACUGCCCCUCUGGAGCCGAGAGCCGAGAGCCGAGAGCCGAGAGCCGGGAGCCCCAGUGUGCCUUUUUAAUUAAGACCGGAAUUGUUUUUUUUUUUUUUUUUUUAUAGUUCGGUAGUUAAUUAGUUAAUUAAACAGGGGAAAAAUGAGUUAAGUUAACCUUGAUAAUUACGAAAAAAAAUCCAGACAAUUGAAAAACAAAGUUAGAUAAUUUUAAAUUUUUUUAUUUCUUUUAUUAUUGUCUAAUCAAAA